CAAGAGCGCGACCAGUUGCCCCGGCUCGUGACGGCCCGUGCGCCCCCCCCCACCCCGCGGUGCACUGACCCGGAGCGAGCGACCCGUCCCCCCAGGCCUCAUGGGCAGCAGGCAGGGAUUUUCCUUAUGGCCACUCACCUGUGGUGGAAAGGGGGAGAACAGGAAUGUAUUUUUCCAGAAGGAAGGGCAGUUUGCUUUCCGAUGGAGUUGUGCGGUCUCGGAGCAAUAAAAGACAGCUGCCCCUUU